UUACUCUUGUUUCUCUUCAUAUCGUAUAAAUCUUUCGCAUUUUACUAAAGAUUUUUGUCGGGAAUGACAACAAGAGUCGGUCUCAACUUUUUGACGCUCUGCGAAAGCGGAGCU